CUUGAUCUAAAUCUUUAGCUCAAUCUUUUAACAAUCUACUUUAGUCUUGCCUUUUCUUUUAAAAUUAACAUGAAAGAAUAAAAUUUAUUUAUGCCAAGAGGGUCUUGAGCAAUUAGGCUUGAAUUCCUUGUUAAAUUGGUGGCAAAAGUCAAAUUUUUGGAGAAGUGGGUUCUUGAAUUUCAAUAGCUACGAUUUUUUUCUAACAAACAUAGGACUUGAUCCUGACCUUCUCUACUUCUGCCACCAAUAUUGCUUCCCAGGUAUUUCAUCAAUGGUGGUGGGAACUUCUCUACCCGACCCGGACCUAAUAUAGGUUUUGUUGAUAGUUUCAUUUUUUUUUAUUUAAGUCAUUGUCUUUAGUCUUUUCUCUUGUUUUUUCUUUUUUUCUCUAUCUGUGUGAAAAAUUAAGAGUUCUUGUGUUAGUAUGUCUUUUUUAAGAUAAAGAGUGAGACAAAAAGAUAUGAGAGUUCUUAAAAAGAGAUAGGUGGUUCUAACGACAGCAAAUGAUAGUUCGAAUAAGAACGAUGACAUUAUGGUGGUUUCUCUUCUCCUAAUAAUCUGAAGUCGAAGAAAUUUUGAACAACGAUGAUGAUAUGAUGGUAUUCCAAUCCUAUGAUGAUUCAAACGAUGACAGUGUUAUGGUUUUCUGCUUAUUGCAAUUCUUAUCAUAUGUAGUGUAUUUUUUUAGUUUUGAUUUUUGUGUUCAUUUUUUAUUUGAAAUAUUUUUUAGGUUUAAGAUGUUUG
rnacentral:lncRNA from 1 species